rnacentral:tRNA from 1 species
GUCGGGAUGGCGGAGCGGUCAAACGCACCAGUCUGUAAAACUGUUGCCCGAAAGGGCUACGGAGGUUCGAAUCCUCCUCCCGGCAC